rnacentral:ncRNA from 2 species
UACGGAGGGGGCUAGCGUUGUUCGGAAUUACUGGGCGUAAAGCGCAUGUAGGCGGCGUAUCAAGUCGGGGGUGAAAGGCCUGGGCUCAACCCAGGAACUGCCUUCGAUACUGAUGCGCUGGAGUCCGGGAGAGGGUAGCGGAAUUCCCAGUGUAGAGGUGAAAUUCGUAGAUAUUGGGAAGAACACCGGUUGCGAAGGCGGCUACCUGGCCCGGUACUGACGCUGAAGUGCGAAAGCGUGGGGAGCAAACAGG